CAGUCGCCGCGGUAAUACGUAGGGUGCGAGCGUUAAUCGGAUUUACUGGGCGUAAAGCGUGCGUAGGCGGCUUCUUAAGUCGGAUGUGAAAUCCCUGAGCUUAACUUAGGAAUUGCAUUCGAUACUGGGAAGCUAGAGUAUGGGAGAGGAUGGUAGAAUUCCAGGUGUAGCGGUGAAAUGCGUAGAGAUCUGGAGGAAUACCGAUGGCGAAGGCAGCCAUCUGGCCUAAUACUGACGCUGAGGUACGAAAGCAUGGGGAGCAAACAGGAUUAGAUACCCGGGUAGUCCCUGUCUCUUAUAC
rnacentral:rRNA from 1 species